CCGCACACAGGCCUCUGCCACUGCUUUGCCCUGACCCAAGCGUGAGCCACUCAGCGUGGCCACGAGGAGGGUGGCCCAUGGGCAGGUGCCGGAGUUCUGAGGGGCCUUCCUGACCACCUCAGCUCCCUGCGGACAAGCCUGGGGGUUCCAGCCCUGAUUGGCCUCCUCGGUGACCAGGGUUUUGCUUCCCCGUGGGACGCUGCUCCGUGGCAGUCUAUCACCAGAUAUAUUUUUCGUUGAAAUAUGGAGCCACAGCAACACCUUCACUUCUCCCGUUCAGACAGAUCACGGCCAUCGCUGUUACAAGAGGCAGGCCCGUGACCUUGACGAGGGCAGGCUGGGGCAGAGAACACACCACUGGCCAGGACGUGGACCCUUUAUGGGAGCUACAGGUACGAAGAGGGGGCAGAUGGCAACACGCCAUUGAUGCCUGCUGGCAGAUGUCACAGCCUGGGGGGAGGGCACUGGGAAAAAGCUCCCCUUUCCCCAGGGGCUCAGCUGGGGCUGCAGGCCACGGAGCUGGGAGCGUGUUUGCGGAUGCGCACACGCACCACGGCUCCUGCAAGAAGAUGCCGUCAGGCCCCUGCUGGAGUCCCCACGGUCCUUGUUCCCUGGGGACCAACAGCCUUUGCAGGGUAACCUAACCAGGUCAGCUGACCAGGGCCAGGGGCCCGCGUGUGGAGGAGGUCAGGGCCAUGGAUACUGUGACACACAAGUCCUUCUGGGGCAAGGCCCAGACGAUGCUCAGAGCAUGGCACGACUGCCCACAUGGUCCCGAGGCAGCUCCUGUGAUCCAUGACAGCCCCAGCCCUGAGAAGGGGGAGAUUUCACUCCUAGGGUCUUCUCCUGGCUCUGGAUACCUGGGGCAAAAAAAGGGCCUCAGCCAUUUACUAUCUCAGGAGGAGGGUGGAGGCCCCGUCCCUGAGGCCUGCAUCGUUCUCCGCCUCCCCUCCCGGGUUCCGCUCUGGUGAGAGAUACAGGGAGAAGGGCAGGCUAUCCCCCAGCGCACGGGGAGGACAGGGGGGAAGGCCCGGGGCUUCUUCCAGCCCUUCACAUACGGCUGCUCGGCAACGUGUUUCUGGGGACCCGGCUUGAGGGCCAGCCUGGUGGGACCCGCUCAGCGACGGCGCAGCCAGCUGUCUCAGGUGGCACUUCACAAAUAAACGGUGACUCUGUCCAUUCCAGGCUGACAUGGAGAGAGACCCUUUUGGAGGCGCAGUGAGGGGCACUGGCCUGGGAUCCGAGAACUCCGAGGGCUGGCCAGGCCCUACUGCCCAGCGGCCCGCACCUUGGGAGCCUGGCUAGCGGAGGUCAGGGCUGGGGGUUUAGAGCGAAAGGUCUCCCCAGCCUUGUGAGCCAAGCUUUGCGAGGUUCUGGGCUCCCAGGCAGAAACCUCUGCUGCACUGUGGGGUCUCAGGGCCGGGAGCAGCUCCUGCCCUUUACAGGAGAAGCCCCAGAUGAGGCCUCAGGAAGUCGAGCUGGAGGGAAGGGCUGGAAAGACAGCCGUCCAGAGCGGUGCCCCUCAGCUGAGCACCGGCAGCCCCAAGAGGCCCAGAUGGGGAGGAACAACUCCCCCCCACCACCACCACCGUGGGGAGCUGGCUCCUUGCCAAGCCAUAGAAGCGAUGCCCGUAAAUCCUGCCUGGUGGUCACCUCUAAGCUCUAGCUUGCGCCUUCAGGACGGCACAAACCUCCUCCGGGGCUCUGCUUUCCAGCUGUAGACCCUGCAUGAGGUCUUGGGGGUCCCCUGGCCAGGGCAGCCAGGUGCGGUCAUUAAAGCAAACACACUCUCCGGGUGGAUCCCCCGCGGGGCGGGGGCAGCCCGUGGCAACGGGAGUCAUGGAUGAGCCAAUGAGAAACCAAACACACAUCUCAAAGCCAAUCAAAGGCAAACACAAACAAAACUUGGGGAAGCAGCAGCAAGCUUUGUGUAAUAAAUAUUGCAGAGCGCACUUGGUUUCUUUCUUUCUUUCUUUUUUUUUUCUUUUCAAGUCAAAUAUAACAACCAAUGUCCCGAACCCUGUUUUCAGCAUUCAAAAGAGAGAAGCUGUUGCUAUCAGCAGAACACCUGCAGCCAAUCAAAGAAAAAAACCAUUCCCCGCUAGCCGGCCAAUCAAAAUCCUUUUCCAGUUUAAGCAGCCAAUCA